AUAUCAAUAAGCGGAGGAAAAGAAACCAACAGGGAUUGCCCUGGUAACGGCGAGUGAAGCGGCAACAGCUCAAAUUUGAAAUCUGGCCCCCCGGCCCGAGUUGUAAUUUGCAGAGGAUGCUUCGGGCGCGGCGCCUCCCAAGUCCCCUGGAACGGGGCGCCUGAGAGGGUGAGAGCCCCGUACGGUCGGACGCCUGGCCCAUGUGAAGCUCCUUCGACGAGUCGAGUAGUUUGGGAAUGCUGCUCAAAAUGGGAGGUAAAUUUCUUCUAAAGCUAAAUACCGGCCAGAGACCGAUAGCGCACAAGUA
rnacentral:rRNA from 1 species